ACAGCAGUCGCCGCGGGAAUACGAAGGGUGCAAGCGUUACUCGGAAUUACUGGGCGUAAAGCGUGCGUAGGUGGUGGUUUAAGUCCGUUGUGAAAGCCCUGGGCUCAACCUGGGAAUUGCAGUGGAUACUGGGUCACUAGAGUGUGGUAGAGGAUAGUGGAAUUUCCGGUGUAGCAGUGAAAUGCGUAGAGAUCGGAAGGAACAUCUGUGGCGAAGGCGACUAUCUGGGCCAACACUGACACUGAGGCACGAAAGCGUGGGGAGCAAACAGGAUUAGAGACCCCGGUAGUCCCUGUCUCUUAUAC
rnacentral:rRNA from 1 species